AGCUUUGUGCAGUGGCAGUAUCGUAGCCAAUGAGGUUUAUCUGAGGCGCGAUUAUUGCUAAUUGAAAUAAAGUUUAAAAAAAAAAAAGAAAAACUUUGAAUCCACAGUUAUUUUGUGUUUUUAUUAAUGUAGUUAUUCA